rnacentral:misc_RNA from 1 species
GUAUUGAUUUCAUAAAUGAGGUCAUUCUACACUUUUAAAGGGGGGGGGGUUUUGUGUGAAAACGCGAGCCCCCCAAAGGGGGCCCACGCGGUGGUGCACAAAGGGUGAGAUGGAUUGUGUUAUGUGAGAGGACACGCUCCGGCGUGCACGACCUUGUGUCGGUCAGCGACAGCCCUCGCAAUGCCUAACACAUUUUGUACGAUAAUGAUCCUUCCGCAGGUUCACCUACGGAAA